GAUUCAUCGUCGAAUCUCAUCACAAGGAAUUUACACUAUUUAACACGGAAUUCAUGCCUAAAUACAGUCAGGUUUUGAGUGAACUUGUCCCUGUUCUUUGAAUCCAAACUUCGCGUGACAUCCGCCAUCAGUUUUUCAAAACAGAGGGAAAGGCGUGGGUGUUGAUCUACUGCCUGCAUUUUGACACAACAAAUGAGCGUUAA
rnacentral:misc_RNA from 1 species